GGAUUCCCCUAGUAACUGCGAGUGAAGCGGGAAAAGCUCAAAUUUAAAAUCUGGCAGUCUUUGAUUGUCCGAGUUGUAAUUUAGAGAAGCGUUAUCCGUGUUGGACCGUGUACAAGUCUCCUGGAACGGAGCGUCAUAGAGGGUGAGAAUCCCGUCCAUGGCACGGACUACCAAUGCAUUGUGAUGCGCUCUCGAAGAGUCGUGUUGUUUGGGAAUGCAGCACAAAAUGGGUGGUAAAUUCCAUCUAAAGCUAAAUAUAGGCGAGAGACCGAUAGCGAACAAGUACCGUGAGGGAAAGAUGAAAAGAACUUUGGAAAGAGAGUUAAACAGUACGUGAAAUUGUUGAAAGGGAAACGCUUGAAGUCAGUCGCGUCGUUCAGGGAUCAGCCUUGCUCUGCUUGGUGUACUUCCUGUUCGACGGGUCAGCAUCAGUUUCGACCGCUGGAAAAAGUGCGCAGGAAUGUGAUCUCCUCGGAGGUGUUAUAGCCUGUGUUCGUAUACAGCGGUUGGGACUGAGGAAUCAGCACUCGAUGCUUGGGAUGCUGGCAUAAUGGCUUUAAGCGACCCGUCUUGAAACACGGACCAAGGAGUCUAACAUGCCCG
rnacentral:rRNA from 1 species